CAGGAGAGGGGCAUCCAUAACAUUCUCCAGACCUGCCCACAGUGAAAGGGAAGAGAUUCUACUUGGAACGUACACAAAGAGGUGGAAUCUUGGGGACCACCCAGAACUCUGCCUACCACACUACCAAUACCACUUUUCAACAGGCACUGUACUCAGGUUCAUGUUUGAUAUUCUACUGCUAAUCCACACAGCAAUGUGACAAUCUCCCUGGGUUCUCUGCAGCUCUUUAAAUGGAUGCCAGCUCACUACUCAAUAAGUCCAGGAUAAGAACCAUACAUUGUUCAUCGCUGAGUCUCAUAGUGUAGAGACAGACAUAUCAGCUCAAGAAGUGCUUGAUGAAUGAAUCAAGGAAUGAGGAUUUAAAAUUAAAAUAUUACCAUGGGCCCUCAGCACUGUGUUCCCUGUGUGCCUAACGGAUGAGUCCAUCUCGCAGAGGGGAAGGAACCGCAGGACGGCCUCGUGGAUAAAGUGUCAAAGGAGCUAAUCCUUAAAGAAUGGGCUUAAUUUGAACAGACACAGAGACUUCCUAUCCUUUCAAUACAGAUCAUCGUUUUUUAAUAUUUAUUCUAUUACAUACGUUAAUCAUGUUUAUUGUGGUAAAUGUGAAUAAUACAGAAGUAUUAAGAUAAAACUAAAAGUCACCUUUAAUUUUAC
ensembl:lncRNA